AAGAAUCGAGGUUUCUGGUUCUGACACACAGGGAGAAGCUCUGGAGAAGCAGCAUUGGAAUGAGGGUUCUUUCUCAAGGAAACAUCUUAGACGUGCCCCGGAUUUUCUGGAUAACUGCACAGCCCAGCUUCAGUUCUCUCCUUGGUCGCCACUCAUCCCAACUCAGUACCUGGUGAAGCGGCAGCCCAGCAUGUGGCUCUACCAGACUUAAAUCUCUCCAGGCCUUACCCGAGGAGGUCACCAGUCCUCU
rnacentral:lncRNA from 1 species